UGUUCAAAGCAAUUAUUUUGAAUAAAAUUUGCUCAAUGAACUAAAUAGCCGCAGAAUUUUACUGUGCUAAGGUAGCAUAAUCACUUGUCUCUUAAUUAGAAACUAGAAUGAAAGAUUUUACAUCUAACAUCUUUCUUAAAUUAAAACAUAAAAUCUAUAUUAAAUAUUAAAAUAUAUUUAUUUAAAAAAAAGACGACAAGACCCUAUCGAACUUCACUAAUGUUUUGCUGGGGCAGCAAUUUAAACAAAAUCUUAAUUAUUUAAAAAAAAAAUAACCCAAUAAAAUUGAUUAUAACAAGUUACCGUAGGGAUAACAGCGUAAUUUAUUUUUCAAGCUCAAUCUAAAAAUAAGAUUACGACCUCGAUGUUGAAUUAUUUAUCCAAAUGGCGCAAUAGCUAAGAUAGGAAAGUCUGUUCGACCUUUAAAUUUUUACA
rnacentral:rRNA from 1 species